rnacentral:misc_RNA from 1 species
GAUGAAGAACGUAGCGAAAUGCGAUAAGUAGUGUGAAUUGCAGAAUUCAGUGAAUCAUCGAAUCUUUGAACGCACAUUGCGCCCUUUGGUAUUCCAAAGGGCAUGCCUGUUCGAGCGUCAUUUGUACCCUCAAGCACGGCUUGUGUGUUGGGCCCCGUCCUCCGAUCCCGGGGGACGGGCCCGAAAGGCAGCGGCGGCACCGCGUCCGGUCCUCGAGCGUAUGGGGCUUUGUCACCCGCUCUGUAGGCCCGGCCGGCGCUUGCCGAUCAACCCAAAUUUUUAUCCAGGUUGACCUCGGAUCAGGUAGGGAUACCCGCUGAACUUAAGCAUAUCAAUAAGCGGAGGA